GACGAACGCUGGCGGCGUGCCUAAUACAUGCAAGUCGAACGCAGUUGGGACGGGUGAGUAACACGUUGGUAACCUCCCAUCAGAGGGGAUAACACUUGGAAACAGGUGCUAAACCGAUACUGAUGGAUGGACCCGCGUGGCAUUAGCUAGUUGGUGGGGUAACGGCGCACCAAGGCCACGAUGCAUAGACGACCUGAGAGGGUGAUCGGCCACACUGAGACGGUGAAACGGCCCAGACUAUUACGGGAGGCAGCAGUAGGGAAUCUUCGGCAAUGGACGAAAGUCUGACCGAGCAACGCCGCGUGAGUGAAGAAGGUUGUCGGAUCGUAAAACUCUGUUGUUAGAGAAGCGGUAUCUAACCAGAAGGCCACGGCUAACUACGUGCCAGCAGCCGCGGUAAUUC
rnacentral:rRNA from 1 species